GGUGUCAACAAACUGUGCACCUCCAGUUGCUGGUGAAGCUUCACAAGAUGGACAAUCUCCAGCUGCACCGUCUUCUGCAAGUUACCGAUCAUCAAAUAGCAGUGUCAUUUCAUCAUCUGAAUCACCAAUUAAAGAUGAGGACGUUGAUGUACAUGAUGGUCAAGAUGAUACAGAAGAUAUUGCGAUGGAUGUUAGUGGUUCAACUGGAUCAAUUGUCAAU
ensembl:snoRNA F42H10.17 ncRNA